AUUUUCGCCCUCUUUAGAUGGAAUUGGGGCUUUACCAAUCGGAAUUUUAAUUCGGUGUCUGUUAUAUUUGUUUUCAUUGCAAAUACUACGGUUUUUAAUAUAUUCUUUUAAUUUUAAAUAUAACUUUGGCCAGUAAUACAAUCUACAGAUUUGAUUAUAGUUUUCAUACAGUCCUCUGUGAGCUCUACUGUGUGUUUCUUCUAUUAUGAUAGCCUUGUGUUCGUUGUUUUCUACAUCUUGAAGGAAUGGUCCUUGUGAAAAAAAAUAUCAUUGUCGAGUUGACUAAUCAAUUACAUUCAUUAUACCCAUCAGUUCCAAUGAAUCGGGACGAUUCAAUUUAGUAUGGGGGGAGUUAUGAGACACAUUAUUUAGGGGCCCUCGCCCAAUUUAUAAAUAACUUUGAGCCAAGAGCUCUUUCCAAUUAACUUUGACUGACUCCGAGAUUAACCCGUGUUCAGCUAUUUCUGUAAACAAAGAUUCCAAUCGAUUCCCACCCAGAUCAGUUUCGAGCGAUUCGCUUCAAACGGAUUCUGUAAACAUCCAAGCCGAUAUUGUAAACAUCAGAGUCCCAAGUCCGCUAAAGUAAACAUUAAUUUCCGGUAGAACUUCACUUCUGUAAAAUUUCAAUUUAAAAUUUAAUAGACAAAUUUCAUUAUCUUUUUCCGACUCUCUUCGAUGACUCUCUUAAUCAGAUUUUUGUGAUAAAUCUCUUAAGCAGAGGUUUGAUUAUUGAUCAUUGACCCAAAGCAGGGCAGUCCGAUUUUGCAACCGAGUAAGACAGAACAAAAGAUAAAGUUGUGAACAGUGAAAAAUAAGUUACGAACCAAAAUAAUUUUGUAAUAGUAAAUAGAAAAAAAACCGAAUAUUAAUGUGAUCCAUAAAGAACCAUAAGAAUGAAAUAAAAUCAAUAGAAAAUUAAUAAUAAUAAAAGGAACAAGAAGAACCAUUUACAACGCAUGGUAGGCAGGACCGCCCACUAUGCCAACGAUCUGGGAUUCAAAAGAGGAGUACUAGUACGGCAAGCAAUAUCCGCUGGCUGUACGCCGUUGGAAAGGUAUGGAUGGUACACCCGUACCACGAAACGACAAAUCCUCACUUCAAGAGGCACUGGAGGCGAAGCCGAAGGAUGGACCAAGACCUUUAACUAUUGUCGAAUAUAAAGCAUGACAAGACUGUCAUGGUCGCCAAGAUUGACUCCAACUCAGCGCUACAACGAAAAAAAGAUGCACCUUUGCUUGAAUUGCCUACGGAAGGGACGCAGCUUACGGCAAUGCAGAUCUGCCAGCUGUAGGAACUGCCACCAGAAGCAUCAUACUCUUUUGCAUAUCCAAUCGAAUCUCAUUCCAACCCUUCCGCAGCCUGGUCCUAAAAAGCCGCCACAUAGUUCAUCUUUAGUUUCUAUAGCCUUGCCCAAACCACCAUCUAUAGCUUCGUCGCCAAAUAAUGCCGAUUACGUGUUGCUUGCCACCACAAUAGUUUAUUUAAAAAACCGCUCUGGCGUAUUCGUGCCUUGCCGGGCCUUACUCGACUCGGCCUCUCAAAUCAACUUCGUCACCUCUCGUUUCCAAAUCAACUGCAACUCCAAAUCCAUCGCUCAAUCAUCUCCAUAUCAGGGAUAAGCGAGUCCUCGCUAGCAUUGGAUGAGUCGGAUAACAUUUUCUCACAAUCUGCUAAUGCCAAUUCGACCUUAACCCAUCUGAGUGGAAAAUACCGUGGAAAUCCCGAGCCCGCCGACCGCCGAGCCCGUCUACAAAAGUCAGCGAAUUGACUUGAUUAUUGGAGCAAGUUUAUUCUUCUUUGUAUUGGACAAUUUCGAUUAGGAAACCAUUUACCCACCCUGCAGAAAACCAGACUUGGCCUAUACGCGCUCAACUUCAGCACUCAGUCUGAGCCUGAGUCAAUUUCUGACAAAUUAAAGAUAAGUGUCCCAGAUACUAUAACAACUAUUUCGAAGGAGGAUGCUCUAGGCGAGAAACUAUUUCAACCGCAACCUUCCCACGUACGUUUUAAGGCACUCGAGGUUACAUUUGGUUGAGAUACCCUGUCGGACCCUGUACCCAGACUGCAACCAAGCGCAGCAUUCUUUCGGCAAUAUCCACUUGGAUUAAUAGCCCUGAUCAUCCCCCAAGCUAAAGAUUUUUAAGCAGCUCCUAUGGAAGGAUAAGCUUGACUGGGAUGAAUCCCUACCGCAAUCUUUGCACUCGUCUUGGUUGGAGCACAUGUCACAGAUCACAACAGCUGAUUGCUUAAAAUUUCCUCGCCUUGUUUUAAUGAAUAACUACCCUUGCUAAAUUCAUGGACUUCGUAUUGCCUGCUGGAUUUGGCUGUACAUCCACUUCCUCCUCCUCGUUGGCAGUGCUGGCGGUGGCAGGUGGAACCAGAAGUACUGGAAUAGGCGGCGGCCCCAAUAUAUCCUCAUUAUAAUCGUCGUCGUCAUUUUCAUCUUUACCUUCGUCGAGAACCCGCUCUUCUGGCCAGCUUUCAAGUGGAAGAAUCGGACAUGGCCAUGCUAAGCUAGGCAGCAUCGUCCUCAUCAAGGAGGACAACUUACCCCCCUUGCGGUGGCGCCUCGGCAGGGUGGAGACCACUGUCUCCGGAAAUAACGGCGUCGAUCGAGUUGCGGUGAUCCGCACGGAAAUUAGCUGUCCUCCCCUUCGAAACCACUUCGCUUGGAAGUAUGGCUCUUCCAACGGGGGGAGUUUGUCGGGAGCAGUAAUCUAGCUAAUACCAGAAUUAUGGCUUACAAUUUGUUCAGCAUCACUGUAUGCUGAAUUAUCUCUUUUAUCUAUGAGAAAAGAUGAGAUAAGCGCUCGCGAGUCGCCGAUUGCUCGGCUCGCCCCAUCGUUCUCUAUCGUUGUCAACACGGAGUCGCAGCUCUGCAAUUUUUUGUAUAAUUAUUAGUUGUAAAACAUAUCUAGAAACAGGUGGCAUAAAUUAAUUAUUAUGUUCCUCAAUCAAGUUGAACAAGAAAGAAACAAUGAAAUAUACUGAACACUUUACAUUCGAAAGAUCAGA